AUUGAACGCUGGCGGCAGGCCUAACACAUGCAAGUCGAGCGGAUGAAGGGAGCUUGCUCCUGGAUUCAGCGGCGGACGGGUGAGUAAUGCCUAGGAAUCUGCCUGGUAGUGGGGGAUAACGUCCGGAAACGGGCGCUAAUACCGCAUACGUCCUGAGGGAGAAAGUGGGGGAUCUUCGGACCUCACGCUAUCAGAUGAGCCUAGGUCGGAUUAGCUAGUUGGUGGGGUAAAGGCCUACCAAGGCGACGAUCCGUAACUGGUCUGAGAGGAUGAUCAGUCAAAAUGGAAAUGGGACACGGUCCAGACCCCCACGGGGGGCAAGCGGGGGGAAUUUUGGAAAAUGGGGGAAAGGCUGAUCCAGCCAUGGCGGGGGUGUGAAGAAGGUUUUCGGAUUGUAAAGCCCUUUAAGUUGGGAGGAAGGGGAGGAAGUUAAUACCUUGCUGUUUUGGCGUUACCAACAGAAAAAGCACCGGCUAAAUUUG
rnacentral:rRNA from 1 species